UGCAGAAAGAAAUAAACAUAACCAACCAGAUAAAAUAGCAAAGGAAAAAACAGAGUGAAACAGCCAAACAAAAAACACAUGGCAAAACAAACUGAAUGAUUUGCUAAAAAUUCAAAUUUGUUUUCAUUUCCAGGUUUUUUUUGUUUUGUUUGGCAACAUGUUCAUAUUUGGAUAACUUUAACAGGAUAAGUUUUAUGGAAAUCCAAAUCUUUUGGGCUAUUUAUAAGUGUAAUUUUGGUAAGGGGAUCCUCCUAAUAUCGUUUCUACACAGAAGUAGAUUGUUUCCUUAGAUCUGCAGUUUUUACUCUUUGUUUUAUUGACAAGGGUCCUAUUGGGUGGACUGGGGGAGAGAGGGAUGCUCAUUUUGUGUCUUUGAGUUCAUUUGCUUUUAAACACUGUGUUUUUAAUAUGUAUUUUAUUUGCUUUUAUGUUAAGCCCCUUGUGUUUCAGGUGAAAAGGUGCUAUACAUAUAAAUAAAGUUUAAAUUUGAGUUUUAAAAAGUUACAUUUUUUAAAUUUUUAAAAUAGUGUGUUCAAUAAAUGUUUUUCCUAAGGUGUCUUUUGGAUUCUGGCCCCCUGUGUGAUUGAGUUGACACCAUGCCUGCCUGUAAAUGAAUAGACUGAAUAAUGCUGGGUGGAGUCGUUGUUCCGUCUCCAUAGCAACGGGGAAGCGGGAGCAAUCUUAACUAACAGAACAAAAGUGUCAAAGGAAAAAAACGCAAUAAAUAAGGAGUCCACUGACAGCAUGAACAACAGAACUCAGCGGUUGAACUCGUGAGUUUAUGUUUUUUCACUAAAGUGACUAAAGAAGAAGACGACGAUGUCGCUGUUUUUUUUUUUUUUUUUUUUUUUUUUUUUUUUUUUUGUUUUGUUCUUUUUUUUUAAAGAUAUUUCUGGAAAAUCUGACAUAUAGCAAACCGCUUUGGCUGCUCUCGUCUCCAUUGAUAGGUUGUCUCGGUCGUCGACCGACGCGGGGACAGCUUUCCUGAACAGCAGGACGAGUUCGAGGCUGACGUGGGAGGUUCGAGCCCGGCAGGACGGGAAGCGCCGCAGUGUGCUCGGCAGCAGCCGGCCGGGCAGACACCACGGCCCGGAGGAGACGCCGAGGAGAGCCGUUCGGGCCCGAGCCAGCAGCCUCCGCAUCCCGCAGCAGCUCUCUGUCUGCCAGCAUAUCAAGCCAGUGCUGGAUGCUGAGGGCAACGAUGUGACUCCCCUGCCUCUGCUCCCAGUGAAGCCACAGCCAUCUACUGAAACGGCAGGAUUGUGUCUGGACGACUUGUUCAAUUCAGAUCACUCUAGCUCCGACUCCAGCCUUGAUCUGGACUCCACCUCCUCUUUAAGCAGGUGGUGACGUUCACAUCCAACCAAUGCGUUAGUGAUGGUGUCAGAGGAGGAAUAAUGUCUGCUUGUGUUUUCAGCUCAUUCGCUCUGUCCUCAAGGGAUUCAUGGACAAAGGAAAGUAAAGACAGUCUCCUUACAGAGGACAUCCACCUACACCUACCUACUCCAUGUGAUUAAUACACCUUUUUGUCUGUUUAUUUUUUUAUUUGUUUGUUUUGAUGAAUAUUUUCUUGUAUUUUUUAUCCCGGGGGGUCUGCACCCUUUGAGGCAACAUUCACACUGUCCUCGGCAACGCGCUUUCAAGCCAUUGACUGUAUAAGAAAACUGGACUGAUCCCUCCCCCCUCGCGUUACCAUAAGACUUCUAUGGAGAAAAAAAAACAGCUAUUACUCACUCUAUUUGUCAGAAAAAUAAUUAUUUCGCUACAAACUUAUUAUUAACAUAUUGUAUCCUAAUUUUUUUCAUUACGUUUUUUCUUUAUCCCAAGUUAUUCAAGUUAUAAACUGGCCAAUCAGAUGCCUCAGUAAAGCAUGUGGUGCCCACCUCAAACGUUUGAUUGGCAGAUUCUCCUGAGCUCACUUUCAGUGGUAUGGAUGUGAACUUCUAAGUAGCUCCCUCCUGAUUGGUAACAUCAUUUGCCAUAGUAAUGUAGUAACCAUAAUAACUGACUAGAAACAAUCGCUGCUUACUGACCAUGUCUGGCACCAAAUAGGGGUUUCCGUAUCACAGAAUGAUUUAGUCUCAUUUGGUUGGAGCUGGAAAUAAGACAUUUUUGCUCUUUAAGGCAUUAUCUAUGAGUGACUGAACUCAGUCCAGUUCUCUUAUGCAGUCAAUGGUUCAAGCGACCACUUCUAAUUAUAAGUCUAUGUCAAUGCAUGUUUCAUGCUUCCGUAUUCGAAGCUCUCGGGUUCAUUCAUAGCUACAUACAUUUUUAGGACCGUUCAUGGGCUCUAUGUACAAAAUGGGACAAUUACCUGUCACAUUUAAAAUGAGUUAAUAAAUGACAAUUUACUAAAGCAAAAAACUAUAAUUUAUUAAUUUUUUUUGCAUUCUGCUUCAAAGCCAAUGGAGCCUAAGUCCAGAGGUGUUAUCACUUUUUUAUAAUUUUGUUUGAAGUGAUCCCACCAAAGAAAGGAUUGGCUAAAAAACAAGCAUCAGAAGAGAUAAAAGUGACUGACAUAAUUCUUAUGGAGUCAGAGACGGUUACGCUGCUGGACAUCCCAAGCACCUUAAUCCACGAGGACGCUGACGGUGCAGAACUCGCCAGGUGAGGUCACGGAGCAGCUCCACUCAGGAAUCACAGCAGUGUAACCAUGCAACCAUGUGUAGCCGUGCAACUUAGUUUGUGUAAAAUCUUCAUUGACAAAUGGAUUUUUUCUGUUUUUUAACAGGGUGAGGACCGACCACUAUGUUGAACUUUGCAAAAGCAGAGUGCGCAAUGCCAUUGAACAAUCCACACAGACUAUCGUUGGAGAGAACAAAAACAAACUGAUACAGACCAACGAGAAGAUUGAGCUUGAAAAGAGUAUGAACUCACUUAAUCUUUGACCCUCUAACAAAGGAGUUCUAGUGUUUAUGUUCUUUGAUUUAUUGGAAUUAUGUAAUUCUUAACACGAUCAACGCAAUUCC
rnacentral:lncRNA from 1 species